rnacentral:rRNA from 1 species
UACAGAGGUCCCAAGCGUUGUUCGGAUUCACUGGGCGUAAAGGGUGCGUAGGUGGCUUGGUAAGUUCGAUGUGAAAUCUCCGGGCUUAACCCGGAAAUGGCAUUGAAUACUAUUGAGCUGAAGGUUUGGAGGGGGGACUGGAAUUCUCGGUGUAGCAGUGAAAUGCGUAGAUAUCGGGAGGAACACCCGUGGCGAAGGCGGCCAUCUGGACCAGCACUGACGCUGAGGCACGAAAGCGUGGGGAGCAAACAGGG